CGGGGUGUAGCUCAGUUUGGCUAGAGUGCUUGCUUGGGGUGCAAGAGGUCGCUGGUUCAAGUCCAGUCACUCCGACCA
rnacentral:tRNA from 1 species